AGCUGUGCACAUUAGUCACAGCUCACAGCGCGCUCCACGCGUCGCGCUGCGCAGUGCCCUGCGCGGUGCGGCUUACGUCAUGCGGGGCGAGGAACCGCGCCGGCGACGCUCGCGCCCCGCGGAUCUCCGCAGUCGCCCGAGAACAACCAAGACGGCAGGACGCAACACUUAAGUCGUGACUCAAGAUCGCAGAGCGAGAAGACGCCGCGGCGUGCUCCGAUCGAAGACAAUUAUUAUAAUAAUAUAUUAUAUUUAAAACAAAGGACUCCAGACUUAUUUCCCGCAUCCCCGCUCGUACAUUUCUGGUCCUUCGAGCCGGAUGAAAUUGAAGAUAGAAACGAAAAAGGAUCGCGGCCACGUGUCUGGAAAAUUCCACGAAGAAAGGAACUAGGAAGACGACCACACCUACACCACAGUCACAUCAGGGAAUUAGCGUAGACCUGAAGGAGUAGCGUUAUUGUGAAUAAAAACCACGCGGUCGGGCGUGGCGCGGCGGUGGCUCGCUAGCGCUCGGCUCGGCUUAAGCUACCGCGUGUCGCUUACAACGUGCACGUGCUUGUUUUAAGUUGCCUGCACACGCUUUUGCAAAUCUUCAGCUAAUU
rnacentral:misc_RNA from 1 species